rnacentral:rRNA from 1 species
GGUCUUUGGGGUUUUUUUGGCAGCCGGGUAAACCAUGUCCCCCAAACCUACCCGCCUAGGAGAGAUUAGGGGGAAGCUAGGAGGGCUUGGGUGCGGUGAGUCUUGGGAACAGCUUCCUGAGUCCCUUAGAGAGCUGGCUCGCGUGCGGCGGUCGGUGCCACCCCUCCUCGGGGCGGCGGCCUAGAAGUUGCGGCGGCGGUGGUUCCCCUUCUCGGGGCGGCGGCGGUGGCUCCCCUCCUCGGGGCGGCCGCUCUCCUCCUCGGGCUGCGGCGGGCUGCGGCCGCAAUGAGGUCUUAUGACCGCAAGAGGGACCGCCAGGGUGACUUGGUCCAACUCUUCACCUUGUUCGUCUCCUUCUUACACUGCAACCGUCCCAGGGAGCUUUAGCAGACAAACUCUCAGAGCCAACGAAAACACAGACACGAUGACGACAGAAUACCUCAAGUCCCACAUAAAGACUCCCCUCGCAUACUUGAAGCCAACUCAACUCAAAGCAGACGACAUCAAGGCAACAUUGAUUGUCGUCGUUUCUUUCCCGCAGUACAAACUCUUCUAACUUGUAGUGUGUUCAGGUUUCUUGUAUUAUCGUUACCCUAGAGCUUCGUAGACGGAAGAGUAAGAAGAACACUAGAAGUAGGGGUCAAGACAGUACAGACUUAGUUCACUAUAUUUUUCAAAUAAGUGAGACUCCGUGAGUUAACGACUUCUUUUCCCAAAGGAGGCGUCGACCAAACUAAGUCUUUGAGGGGGAACGUCGACCAAUCCAUAUUGGACAAGCCCCGCAUCGCAACACCGGUAUCUGAACAGGAGGUACGGUGAGAUGCAGGCCAAAGGAAGUACGUAACCCCGUAAGCUCAGCGAACAAGACGACUUGAAUUCACCCACACCCAAAUGGCCACUCGAAGGCCUGUGGGACCCUUAAACGUCGCAGAAGUCAUGGAUCUUGACUUACUAUUGGUCGAAUGACCCGGGGACGGAGGGAGUAAUAUAUGGAACUUCUACGACUUUCUUUACCACGAACUGUUGUUGAAUAAUGUACCUGUUGACUCGGGACGUUAACGAGUCAACGUCGUAGAGUGGUUCGACAGGUAUAGGCCCUUAAGGUAGAGACCACCGUAAGGAUGUCUCAACCCGUCAGACGUCUUGGAUCUCAAGGACCUGGAAGUGUACUUGUCGGCUUUACCUAGUUAUGGUCGUCGAAAAGCAUUAGACAGAGUCGACAACGUAGAACUAGAUUCGGUCUUAUUGGAGUCACCUAAUUAUAAAAGACCUUAUUCGAGCAACCACUUGGAAUACAGUGAACUAGACAGGAGUUUGUUAAAACACCCCGGUUAUGGAUCCCUCUAACCAGUUAACCUUUUGGAAGCUGACGACUAAAACCCGGUUUUACGCAAGUGGCGAUCGUAAGGUCUUCUUUAACCAUUAGACUUCGCCGAAGUUCAUGAAGACGAGGGACUUGCGUUUGAGUGUCCGUGGUAGGGAACCAGUUAGUCGCCAGAACAUUAAGACCUCCUUAAACUGUAUAGUCUCUUGGUGAAGCUACGACUUGAGGGUUGUAGUUAGCCAGACGAACCAUUAGACUGUGUCGACUAACGCUUCUUACGUCCCGAGUCCCCCUCGUAUGGCUUUCUUGAUUCAUUGACGUUCUUCUAACGAGAGUAUUUAGACAGUAAAUUACUGAAGUGACGAGGUAGGGACUUCUUGAACGUCUUGACCUUUGACAACAGAGAAAAAGACACCUUCCCUUGUUUGAUAGUCCGUUAUAAGGUCUAACCUAUUCCUUGACCCGUUUACGUUCUAGAUAUAGCGACCCAGUUUUGAACAAGUCACCUGGAAACGGUAACGACGGUAACGUCGUAGACGAGUCAAAGAGACGUCUUUGGUUGGCAGAGAGUCCAAGACAGGGACGCCUCUACACAGUUCUGUUGAGGAACGUUUGUGAGUAUGACGUACUAUUGUUAGACUGACCUUCAUAGCUCCCUUGAAAAUUUCCUACGUGUUUGGAGUGGCUCGACUUGAACGAUCCAUUGGUAGAAGUACCUCUCUAUGGUCCCAUGGACCGACUGGACGGAAAUCAAUCAGACCUUAACAGGGAUUCGUUAAAGUGUCCUUACGACGGACUGUCCAACACCCUCAGUAGUUGAGAAAACGUCUAGAGAGAGUCGUUGUUAGUCUAAUGGCCGGUCUAGGGUCUAUCGUAACCAUCCGACAGGUCGAACGUCUCCAACGUCUAACUGUUAUUGAUAAACCUUCCUGGGUAUGGUGUCAGACAGCCGAUAGAUGCUUUAGACUGAUAAGACAGAGACGUACCGUUACCCAAUAGACCCUUGUAAGGUUAUCUUGAGAAGUUGACGGCUUUGGAACGAUGUGACAUGGACUCGAGAUUAUUAGACUGUCCCGUGUAGGGCUCCCGGUAUAGAUUGAACUGUAACGAGUUAUCGAACUAAAACAGAAUAUUGGUCGAGAGACCACGAUAAGGACGACUCUAGACACACCCCAAACUUUUACUCCAAGUGGGACUGAGCCUCAAACACGUCGUAUUGCCGGAAGAACUAGACAGUAUGUUGGCCAACUGACCAGUCUAAGGCCGUCGUUAUUUCUUCACAAGAUACGACUACCACGAUUUGGACGUUCCGUUGAACGAUUUACCGUGGUAAGGGAGUCUCGAACCACUCGACUGUUUAGAAUGUUCGUAAUUAGACAGAAGAUUACCUAAUCAACCUGGUUACGAAGGAACCAGACGUGGUAACCAUGUUGAAGUUCCGGAAUAAGAUAGUUUGUUGGUGGAUUUACCGUGGUAAGGACAACUCUAUCCGGUUCAAGAAGGGUUUUAAAGUUACGAUCUGAACAGGCCAUUACAUGAAUGGCCUUCAGAUGGGGCCAGAAACGACACGUUGUUUAUAGACUUGGCGGACCUACAGUUAUUGUUGUUAGAGAGGCCCUUUUAAAAUAAGAAAACAGGGUACCUACCUCUUAGGAGUUCGAGUGACGACAAGAAGUUAAGUUCGUCAUUGGUAAAGAGUCCCUGGGAUCUACUCAGAUAGAGCUUGAAGUGUGUUGACAGAAGAGAACUAUAGGUGUUGUUAUCGGAGUGACCUUCGAAUGGUAGUCGUGAGAGACUAGAGUCGAAAAACUUGAUAGAACUGGAGAGUUCGUUACUAAAGAUACCACAGUAGGGAACACCAUAAACGUUAUAUAAACCGGAGUGUAAACGGUUGAAGAGACCAUUGGUGUAGCUGUACAUGUCGAGUAGUCUAACACGUCGUCCUCCACAAACAAGGUGAUUACCGUGACCAGCAUCCCACCGAGUAGGUAGAGUAGCUCAAGCUUCUAAUCCCUAGUAAACAUAGGAAAGUGAACGACAGUAGUAACACAAUCAUGAAGACCACAAAAUAGACUCUGUGUUUGAUAGCUCCUUGUCAAGUAACCAAUAACACGGGCGACCAUUCCGGUUCCGAUGGCAACCGGUUGGAGUUCACUACUCGAGGAUCCUUCCUUCAGUGCCCUUGGAGACUCAUAGUUAGAGCGUUGAAAAGUCGUAAGUGACAACGCCCAGUGGUGACUACUAUAUGACUUUCGGUGUUUCUUAAAGUCAUUUCUUGUGUAGUAUCCGCUACCACCGAAACCGUGACAGAUAUCCCGCCGUGAGGGACUUCCAGCCUCUCAACGCUAGUUCUCCGAAGUACCACCGGUAGUCAAGGUCCCACUGGCACUUAAGGAUCGACUCUACCUCUGUCAACCUUUCCACUUCGUGGGUUUGGAACAAGGGGACGAACCAAUGACACAAACACCGCUGCUCGCCAAGGACUAGAUACUCAUGUACCUCUUACCCUCAGACCUCUAUACCGACUCCUUGGCUCGUCUACGUCAUCUUCGUGAACCUACCGGACUGGCAGACUUCUAGACGGAGCCAAGACGGGUACCCGAACGAAAGGAAGUACUUCCUAAACACGGAGUAUAGUAGGUGGCCCUGUACUUUAGUUCGUUGUAGGACGACCUGCACUUGAAGCUCGGCUCCCAGAGACUGAAACCGGAGCGUUCCUAUUAGUCGCGCACGCUCUGAGUACAGUCGUGGCUGUAGCGGCCAUGUAAACCUAUGUAGGGGGGUCUCAUGCCCGUCUGUUACUUCAGGUCGUGCUUUCCGCUGCACAUGUCGAAACCGCAACCGCAGCAGUACGACCUCGACGAAUGUCCUGCCGGUGGAUGUCCCGUUCUUCUGAACCUUCCACCACCCUUGGAACAGCCGACCCAUGCUACCCACUAGCGAGCGCCCUGCUCCUUGCUCGACAAACUAGGAACGGACGGUCAGAGUCCGCACACCGCCCUCGUCUACCACGCGCACGAGCCGUACCGGGACCUGACGUGCCGGUCGGCACCUUCUCCGGUUCGUACCACCUCCACCAGGUCCCCGCGUAUCAAGACCGGAGCAUCGUGACAAGAACUGUCACUACACUACAUUAUUACAUCCUACUACAAUCCAUUGAACAUCGACAUCAACCCUGUUUACGACCUCUAACAUUUUCUCUAUUUGGUCACAACGAGUACAAGUCCGACAUCAACCCCGUUUAGACAACAUAGAAUUAAGUACAUGACACACAGUCAGUCAGUAUCGUCGUACCCACAAGUGUUCGAGACUUGUACCAACACGAC